CGUCUAGGAAUAAGAAAGGACAACAUAGUCUACAUAUAAAUGCUAAUACAAACCUGAAUAAGAUAGGAAGAAGAAGCAUUGGGCUGCGAACGUCAAACAGCUGCCUAGUCAACUCCGGAGACCUGUUGGACGCCUGAUCAGCACUCACUAUCGUGCCUCAAGACUCAUGGAUCUGCACACAACGUGUAGGGAGUAAUGUGAGUACGCCAACUCAGUAAGUAAUAAAAGUAAAAGCAGCGGAGCAGUAAGAAAACACGUAAACCACGUCAUAAUGCUACAGCAAAAUAGUUGAAGUCCAAAACAAUGCAGUAAAGCAAUAAAACUCGUAAAAACAACUCAAUUCAGUAAAACCUUUUAAAAAACCUUUCAAUAGUUCAAACGAGUGAUGAAAACAGUGAGUAAAAGGAUAGAAAUGUAAAUAGCCCCUCGGGCAAAACAUAUACCAUAUCCGCCCCUCGGGCAAAAUAUCAACAGAACCAGCCCCUCAGUCUACCUUGCAAUCACUCGUAAUCAGCCCCUCAGGCAAUAGCAUAAAAUAACAAUAGCCCCUCGAGCAAUAACACAUCUCACACUGGGUACAUGUGCUCACUAGGGUGUUCAGACUCUAGAGGGGCUCCUACAGCCCCAAGCGCUAUCAAAAGUCAUCUCGUGGCAUAAAAAAUCAGGCCCUCGUCCUCUCAUAUAUCACAAAUCAGUACACAUGCUGCGGUGCGCAGCCCGAUCCCAUGAUAUCCUCACAAUACAGGCCCUCGGCCUUACUCAGUCAGAAAUCUCUCAAGCCCCUCGGUCAACAGUAAAACAUGAUGCUCAGCCCAAAAUAUCAUUUAGAAAUAUCAAAACGGAGUAAAUACGGCUGAGUUAUAAAAAUAGUAGAAUACAACAUGAAUGAGUAAAAAUAUGAAGUCAAAACAGUAAGGAAUAGUAGUAAAAAUCCCCUAAAGGUCCAAAAUAGUUGGCACGUGGCCCAAGUAUGGCAUUCAGCCCAAAAUAUGGUAAUACUUUCCAAAACACAAUGAUAUCAAUAGUUUUAAAUCAAAUACGCGACUUGACAGUCAUACGGGAUGGACUAAGUCACAAUCCCCAAUGGUGCACGACCCCACGCUGGUCAUCUAGCGUGUGCGUCAGCUCAAAGUUUUACAACGAUGUGAAAUCCGGGGUUUCAUACCCUCAGGACAACAUUUACAAUCAUUACUUACCUCAAUCCGGUCCAAACUCUAGCCUGCGAUGCCUUUACCUCUCGACUCGGCCUUCGAAUGCCCCAAAUCUAGCCAAAAACAGUACCAUACCAUCAAAAUAUGCUAAGGGAACAAAGCCCACUCGAAAAUAACCAAUUUACAUCAAAAAUCCCGAAAUUGGCCAAACCCGACCCCCGGGCCCGUAUCUUGAAUUCUGAUAAANNNNNNNNNNNNNNNNNNNNNNNNNNNNNNNNNNNNNNNNNNNNNNNNNNNNNNNNNNNNNNNNNNNNNNNNNNNNNNNNNNNNNNNNNNNNNNNNNNNNNNNNNNNNNNNNNNNNNNNNNNNNNNNNNNNNNNNNNNNNNNNNNNNNNNNNNNNGUUCAUACAUAUCAAAUACAUCAAAAUCCGACCACAAACGACCCCUCAAAUCCUUAAUUCAAUGUCUCCAAUUUCAAGCCCUAAUUUUCCAAUUUUAGGCUUUAAAUCCCAUAAAUUUCAUGUCUAAUUAGCUAGAAAUCAUCAUAGAUUCGAGUAUUGAGUUCAAAAAUCUUAACUUCAAGAAGUUACCUUGAAUUCCCUCUUCAAAAUCUCCCAAAAAGCUCCAAAAUCGCUCAACAAUGGAGGAAGAUAGACCAAAAAUCACGAAAAUGACUAUUUAAACAUUCUGCCCAGAUGACAUUUCCUUCUUCUCGAACGCGGUCAAAGCCUCGCGUUCGUGAAGCAAAAAAAUCCAUUGACCACUUAAUCCUCUUACGCGAACGCGACUUCCAUAUCGCGAACACGAAAGUUCAGCUUCCCAGGCCACCACAAAUGCGACAUCACCUACGCGAACGAAAUGAACAACUACCAGGGGACCCCGCUGCUCCACUUACUCUACGCGAACGUGGGACCUACUUCGCAUUCGCGAUGCACACUCAGCCUCACCCUUGGCGAACGCGGGACCAACAUCGCGAACGCGAAGGGAAAUUCUCCUGCCUCAGUUCACAUCCCUUUGCGAACGCGAGAGCCCUCUCGUGCAACGCGAGGGCCAAAACAAUAUUUUGAUCCGUUAACCUCCCGAAACUCACCCGAGGCCCUCGAGACCUCAACCAAACAUGCGAACACUUACCAUAACCUCAUCCAAACUUAGUCGAGCCUUCGAAUCACUCAAAACAACUCUAAAACACCAAAUCAACCUCGAAUUCAAGCCUAAGAAUUCUAAAACUUCCAAAUUCCGCUUUCGAUCAAAAAGUCUAUCAAACCUCGUCCGAAUGACCUGAAAUUUUGCACAUACAUCACAAAUGACACAACGGACCUACACUUUUGGAAUUCCAUUCCAACCCCUAUAUCAAAAAUUUCACUAUCAACCGGAAACCGCCAAAAUUCCAAUUUCGCCAAUUCAAGCCUAAAUCUACCUCGGACCUCCAAAACAUAUUCAGAUCACGCUCCUAAGUCCCAAAUCACCUAAUGAAGCUAUUUGAACCAUCAGAAUUCAUAUCUGAGACCUUUUUCACAUAAUUCAACAUUCGGUUGACUUUUCCAACUUAAGCUUACUCAAAAGAGACUAAGUGUCUCACUCCUUUCGAAAACUACUCUGAACCCGUACCAACCAACCCGAUAACAUAUAAUACAGUUGAACAACAUAUAAAGAAGCAGAAAUGAGGGAAAUAAAGUGGUAACUCAUGAAACGACCGACCGGGUCGUUACAGAACCGUAGACCCUCAGUGGCCUUGGCUUUCAACCGGCCAAAACAAAAAACAGAACAAGAUAAUGAAGGAACCACAGAACAAAGCUUCAAACUUUAGUGAGAUUAUAGCGAUUUAGGUCUGCCCUUAAGGGGAAUGGGAAGGGGUUUAUAUAGUUGCAGAAAUUGAACAAGUAAACAAGAAAAACUAUAAAAUCAAACACAAAUAAGGAAGUAAUAACAUAUAGAAUCAAUAAAAAAUUGGAUUGGGGAAAAAAUAGGUAAACCCUAUUUGACAGAAAUCGAAGAUUGGCUAAAAAUCCUGGCUAAUCGGACCCAUAUAGCCAUGGUCGUGCUGUAUAUAGACUAAAUAUUGUCCAGAUUCAAAGGGUUGAAGUGAACAAGCAGAAUCGGAGAGAUAGUACUUGCCAUGUUUAGGCAAGUGCUAAGUAACAUCACAGAGAAACACCCAGUAGCGGAGGAACCCCAGUAUGGUAAGUAAAUAAUGAGAGAAUCCCAUUGUUGAUGGGAUUAAGGGAAGGUUUGGAGAGGGCGACGAUUAGGGUUUCGGGUGAGGUGAGGAGCGUUUGAGGGAAAUGUUGUUGGGACCGGUUUUUGGAAUGGGUUGGGUGAUUGG
rnacentral:lncRNA from 1 species